GUAGGGAAUAUUGGACAAUGGGGGGAACCCUGAUCCAGCCAUGCCGCGUGGAGGAAGACUGCCCUCUGGGUUGUAAACUCCUUUUAUAUGGGAAGAACCGUCCUCAUUAAUGAGUGACCUGACGGUACCAUAGGAAUAAGCACCGGCUAACUCCGUGCCAGCAGCCGCGGUAAUACGGAGGGUGCAAGCGUUAUCCGGAUUCACUGGGUUUAAAGGGUGCGUAGGCGGAUAAAUAAGUCAGUGGGUAAAUCAACGGGCGCAACCUGUUAACUGCCAUUGAUACUGUGUAUGUAGAAUAUGAGAGAGGUAGGCGGAAUGUUGCAUGUAGCGGUGAAAUACUUAGAUAUGCUACAGAACACCGAUUGCAAAGGCAGCUUACUAUUUCGUAAUUGACGCUGAAGCACGAAAGCGUGGGUAGCGAACAGGAUUAGAAACCCUUGUAGUCC
rnacentral:rRNA from 1 species